UAAUGGACACAGCAUGUCCUUCUGGUGUAU
rnacentral:piRNA from 1 species